rnacentral:lncRNA from 1 species
UUUUUUUUAUUUUAGCACGUUGAGACUAUGUUAUUAAAUGUUUAGAAGUUUUAAAUUGUUUUAUCUUUCCAGUAAACUAUACCAUUUACCAUUAAAAUUACCAUUAGCAUUAAAAUUGUCUCAAAUAAUAAUGUUUCGCUCUUAAAUCUACUUUAUUGGAUAGUAAUAGCCAACCUAAUCCAAUGGUGUCUUUUGGUUAGUGUUUGCCUACUACAUACUUUUCCAUUCUUUUAUUUUCAACCAUUUGUGCCUUUGUGUUGUGAAUGUAUUAUCUUAGUAAUUCCCCAUUAAUUUUAACAUACUGACUCUCUUCUUCAAAAAUACAAGGACUUAAAAUGUUAUAAUUCUGAUCACCAACUUUGAUCAUACUUACAUAGUCAUUAUUGCUUUAUACAGUCUGAAAUACUUAAAAUAUCUUUUAUAUAAAUAUAUAUGAAUAUUACUAUUUGAAGUUACUUAGAGUUUAUUUCUACUGAGAGUUUCAGAGAAAAUUUCCAUUCUUCUUUUAGGAAUCCUCUGGUGAUGACCAGUGUGAAACCCAUUACUAUAAUAUGUUAAUUUCUUGGCAUGAGGUUUCCAGGACCAUGAAAGUAGUGUAAAGAACUCCAAAUCCACUUGGGGCAGGUCCACAAUAACAUAUUUUUAAAGAAGACUCCCCCAGCCCCACCUAGAGCCCAGAUCAAAAGAGACAAACUUUCCAGCAUUUUAUUUUGUGGGAAGCGGAUUUACCGUACAGUCCCGUUUACUAAUCAAAAGCCUCCUCUUUCAUGGCAGGGUCACAGAUCCAAUUCCCCAACCCACUUACACCCCCAGCCUUGUCUUCCGUCCCUGUGCAGUCAUUAAAAGAGACAUCUCUUGUUUACUGAGAUGGGCAAAUGCCACCAGGGGAGAUGCAGUAGUGAGUGACAACAUGAUCCUUGGGCAUUCAGCUUCCUCUUUAUUUACAUCUCCAAGGAUAUCUCUCACCUGCUUCUAAGUUCAGCUCUGCUGUGAUAUUAUCCAGCAUUUCCUGUUGUUUUGGAUCAGGAGGAUUUUCAGGUUAUCUU